CACGUAGGGGCCAAGCGUUGUCCGGAUUCAUUGGGCGUAAAGAGCUCGUAGGCGGUUCAGUUAGUCGGGUGUGAAAUCUCCGGGCUCAACCCGGAGGGGCCACCCGAUACUGCUGUGACUUGAGUCCGGUAGGGGAGUGGGGAAUUCCUGGUGUAGCGGUGGAAAUGCGCAGAUAUCAGGAGGAACACCGGUGGCGAAGGCGCCACUCUGGGCCGGUACUGACGCUGAGGAGCGAAAGCGUGGGUAGCAAACAGG
rnacentral:rRNA from 1 species